rnacentral:rRNA from 1 species
AGAUUGAACGCUGGCGGCAUGCCUUACACAUGCAAGUCGAACGGCAGCACGGGAGCAAUCCUGGUGGCGAGUGGCGAACGGGUGAGUAAUAUAUCGGAACGUGCCCAGUCGUGGGGGAUAACGCAGCGAAAGCUGUGCUAAUACCGCAUACGAUCUAUGGAUGAAAGCGGGGGAUCGCAAGACCUCGCGCGAUUGGAGCGGCCGAUAUCAGAUUAGCUAGUUGGUGGGGUAAAAGCCUACCAAGGCGACGAUCUGUAGCUGGUCUGAGAGGACGACCAGCCACACUGGAACUGAGACACGGUCCAGACUCCUACGGGAGCAGCAGUGGGGAACUUUGGACAAGUGGGCGCAAGCCUGAUCCAGCAAUGCCGCGUGCCAGGAU